ensembl:lncRNA
UGUUUCCUCAACAAUGUCCACACUGUGCUGCAGCACACGCAGAGUCUCUGAAUGAGAACUUGAAACUCUUGCUGCUUGGCAACAUUGUUGUAUUCAGUGCUCCAUGCUGAGCUGGCUUAAAAAAUUUUUUUUUUUUUUGUUUGUUUUUUUUUUUUUAUCAAACACAGCAAUUUGAUCUCUUUACUGUCUAUUGUGUCAUGGCUGAAUGACAGCCACUCUGCUGUAAGAAAGAUUAUUGCUCUGAGCAUAAAGAUGUGGCUGAUUCACAAUGUAUCUCCCUGAGCCUUUGGAAACUCCCAUGUCUGUUGACCUCAGAAGAAAGCUGCUCUUUUCUACAAACAGUAAGCAAAAUGGAUACUUUCAAACCAGCAGAGCUUAAAAGGGACCCAAGGCUCGUACUACCAAAGAUGCAUGGUCUCCAAAAUCUGCUUCUUAUACAAGACAUCGCCGCAGAAGAGGAGUAUAUAAUAUGUUUUAAGACAAAAGAAAGUAUUUUCUGUUGUGGUGUGCAGAUAAAGCUAGUUUAAACAUCAAUUUUCUUUUUUGUCUCGAGUCCUGCUGUUUUAUGGAGAAUCCCACUUUAUUGUAAACAUCAUUAUUACACACUUUUCUUUCUUUCUUUCUUUUGCUUUCUUGUUUUGUCUUUUCUUUUCUUAGAUAAACUUUCAAAACUUACAGAACAAUGCUACAAACAGAAUGAUUAAUUAUAUUUUGUUUUAAAUGAAUGAAUGAAUAAGUACAUGAAUAAUAUAUGAAAUACAAACAACAAAGACGAACAAAAAUUUUGUAGUUUUCUUAUUUUGUAUACUUUGCAUACAUUAUGGACGCAUGACCUCCGUUGACCAAUCAUUUUGAAGGUAAACAAAUGAGCUGCUGCUGCGCGCGUGCUGGGUCGGUCAGUAGCGAGCAGAGCAGAGCAGAGCAGAGCGAGGGCGUCAAUGAAUGACCCUUUCUAGCGAAAUAUGCAGUCUGAACGGUAAGUUAAAUGGGCGACUGUGGUAAAAGUGUAGUUUUAAACCUUUUAACUAACUAUGAGGAAUAUAGGCUCCUCUGUAUUUUAUGUAAAAGCAAGUUUUGUCUGCGCGUGAAUGAUUAAUUCAUGUUGGCCCAAAACGCGAGCUGCAGUUUAUGCGUUUUAAGCACCCACAGAUUUUCUCUUAAGCUGCUGUCACAUAGAUUAAGUUUAUACUUUAAUUAUAUACGGAUAUAGUUAGUUUAGGUUGGAGAAAUAGGACGUCUACAUGGACAUAAUGGGUUAAUUCAGAAAAGUUUCGAUUCGACAGGUGGACGCGAGUGACUUCCGGAUAAAUGCCCUCCCGGCGUCAGCAGAACUCUGUUAUCGCGCUCACUUUUAUUGUUAGACCACCCUAUUGAUCUGUUCCUAGGAAAUAUUGCAUAAUUGAGAUAAGCUUAAUUUCUAUGCGGUUUGUUCUUGUGGGUUUACAGACUUCUAUUCAAGUUAAUAUAAUUUUUAUAUUCCUUAUAUGCGCAAUUCGUAAUUGGGGUGAAUGCCACAUUUCAUUUAUG